rnacentral:rRNA from 1 species
GGGCGUAAGCGCGCGCAGGCGGUUUCUUAAGUCUGAUGUGAAAGCCCCCGGCUCAACCGGGGAGGGUCAUUGGAAACUGGGGAACUUGAGUGCACAAGAGGAGAGUGGAAUUCCACGUGUAGCGGUGAAAUGCGUAGAGAUGUGGAGGAACACCAGUGGCGAAGGCGACUCUCUGGUCUGUAACUGACGCUGAGGCGCGAAAGCGUGGGGAGCGAACAGGAUUAGAUACCCUGGUAGUCCACGCCGUAAACGAUGAGUGCUAAGUGUUAGAGGGUUUCCGCCCUUUAGUGCUGCAGCAAACGCAUUAAGCACUCCGCCUGGGGAGUACGGUCGCAAGACUGAAACUCAAAGGAAUUGACGGGGGCCCGCACAAGCGGUGGAGCAUGUGGUUUAAUUCGAAGCAACGCGAAGAACCUUACCAGGUCUUGACAUCCUCUGACAACCCUAGAGAUAGGGCUUCCCCUUCGGGGGCAGAGUGACAGGUGGUGCAUGGUUGUCGUCAGCUCGUGUCGUGAGAUGUUGGGUUAAGUCCCGCAACGAGCGCAACCCUUGAUCUUAGUUGCCAGCAUUCAGUUGGGCACUCUAAGGUGACUGCCGGUGACAAACCGGAGGAAGGUGGGGAUGACGUCAAAU